rnacentral:rRNA from 1 species
UACAGAGGGGGCAAGCGUUAUUCGGAAUUAUUGGGCGUAAAGGGCGCGUAGGCGGCUUGGCAAGUGGAAGGUGAAAUCCCUCGGCUUAACCGAGGAACUGCCCUCCAAACUGCUUUGCUUGAAGCCGGGAGAGGCGAGUGGAAUUCCCAGUGUAGCGGUGAAAUGCGUAGAUAUUGGGAGGAACACCAGUGGCGAAGGCGGCUCGCUGGACCGGUUCUGACGCUGAGGCGCGAAAGCGUGGGGAGCAAACGGG